rnacentral:misc_RNA from 1 species
UGUAGCUCCGCCCCUGCUCUUAGUCUAGCAUUUUCACCUUAUUUACCUUACACUUGAGAAUAGAUAAAAAGAAUAUUUCCCAAAAAAGAAAAGAUUUCCCAUCACACCCAACGUAAUCGAAAUUGUCUACACAAUCGAGAAAGAGACGCUCAUUAUUUUCACUAGCAAAAUGUAACUAAGGUUCAAACACUUGAGCUGAGUGUUAAAUCACUACUAUUUUAUUAAUCAGCUCUUUGAGAUAUAUGGAAAGUUGAGAGUAUUGCUAGUUUAACAUGAUUAACUGAGUAACACAAACAUUAGACAGAUGAUUGAAGCCCAAUAACGCCACAGCCAACUCUUGCACCUGCGUUUCCAGUUGUCUUACUAAGUUCAUGUCCACCUCUUCCCAGAUCAUCAGGAUCAG